rnacentral:rRNA from 1 species
UACGUAGGCAGCAAGCGUUGUUCGGAGUUACUGGGCGUAAAGGGUGCGUAGGCGGCUUUUUAAGUUUGGUGUGAAAUCUCCCGGCUCAACUGGGAGGGUGCGCCGAAUACUGAGAGGCUAGAGUGUGGGAGAGGAAAGUGGAAUUCCUGGUGUAGCGGUGAAAUGCGUAGAGAUCCGGAAGAACACCAGUGGCGAAGGCAGUGGGCUGGGCCGGCACUGACGCUGAGGAGCGAAAGCGUGGGGAGCGAACAGG